UUGAUUGUUGCCCAAAUC
rnacentral:misc_RNA from 1 species